AAAAGGAGGCGAGAGAAUGGGAGGGAAACAAAGGGGAAGAGCGAGACAGAGAUUGAGAUCAGAAGAGAGAUAAAGCAGGGUUUUGUGAGUCUCCUUUCCCAAAACCCUAGCCCCGUCUCCGCCUCGAUCCACCGCCGUUGCCGCGCUUUCCCGGCUGGAUCUGGCGAUCUCCGGUGGGCUCCGGUUCCUGGAUCGACAGACUCGAGUUCAGAAGGAAGUGAUUUUGGCGGAGAUCUUUUGGUUUCUAUAAGUCCUCCUUUCCUUGGACCUCUCUCUGUUCCGAGAUUUUGAGAGUUGAGAUGGUUGGUCGAUUAGGGUUUCGCAGUGUAGGGUUUUGAAUUGUUGAGAUCUACUGCUGCUUCGGGGAUGGAGGACAUGAAGCCAUCGAUUGCUUCACUCGCAGAUGACGACGGCACUAUGGAAGCUCGGUUUGCUGAUCUCUGCAAGAGCAAGCUGAGUCUCGAUGAGAGCACGUUGAGGCAGGCAAUGGUUUUAUUCAGGGAAAGUAGGCACGUUCUCGUGGCAAAUAUGUCGGCAAUUGGAAGUGGAUUGCCUGAGGAGAUCGAGAGGUUAUGGUCUGCAUUCAUUCUGUACUGUGUCACAAAGCUGAGCAAGGCGAGAUCUAAGCAAGAGAAGGAAGAAAAUAGUGUUUCGCUCUGUCAGAUAUUGAGAGCAUUUAAGCUGAAUGUUGUGGAGUUCUUUAAAGAAAUGCCACAGUUUUGUCUCAAGGCUGGUUACAUUCUAAGUGGUUUAUAUGGUUCGGAAUGGGAGAAAAAGCUUGAGCUAAAGGAGUUACAAGCAAACAUCGUUCACUUGAGUCUUCUAAGCAGGUACUAUAAACGGGCAUACGAGGAACUGUUCUUGCAAAAUGAUGCAAAAUGCAGUCAGGAUUCAGCAGUGUCUUGUGCUAAGGAUUAUGAUUCUGACUACCAUCGAUUUGGAUGGUUGUUAUUUCUAGCUCUCCGCAUCCAUGCAUUCAGUCGCUUCAAGGAUCUAGUGACUUGUACUAAUGGAUUAGUUUCCAUACUGGCUGUACUUAUCCUUCAUGUUCCUGUCCGCUUUAGGAAAUUCGUUGUUCAAGAUUCCCCAAUUUUUGCUAAAAAAUCAGCCAAGGGCGUCAACCUUCUAGCUUCUCUCUGUGACAAAUAUGAUGCGUCGGAGGACGAAUUAAGAAGAGUGAUGGAAAUGGUAAAUAGCUUGAUAGUGAAUAUUUUGAAGAAAAAUCCAUGCUCACUUUUGGAUGGCAAAAAGGAAAAUCUAGCUCACAUUGACACAGAUGGUCUGACAUAUUUUGAAGAUCUCAUGGAGGAAAAAUCAUUACAGUCAAGUAUAGUUAUCUUGGAGAAAGAUUAUGAUGAUGCAAUUCUUAAAGGUGAACUAGAUGAGCGUAUGUUUGUUAACGAUGAUGACAGUCUUCUUGGCAGUGGAAGUUUGUCUGGAGGUGCUGUUAACAUUUGUGGAACAAAGCGGAAGUAUGAUGCGAUAACUUCCCCAGCAAAGUCUAUCACAAGUCCAAUGUCUCCACCAUGUUCUCCUGGAUCACCAUUAAAAGGAGGUCUUAUUGGGAUCUUUAAGAUAGCUCCCGCUACACCAGUUAGCACUGCAAUGACAACUGCAAAAUGGCUUCGAAGCAUUAUAUCUCCUCUUCCUUCAAGGCCUUCAUCAGAGCUUCUCCGAUUCCUUUCAUCUUGUGACAGAGAUGUAACCAGUGAUGUCAUUCAAAGGGCCAGCAUAAUACUUGGAGCCAUUUUUCCAUGCACCUCUUUUGGGGAGCGGUGUGUUUCGGUAAGUAUGCAAAAUGCUGCUCGGAUGGAUAGUAUUUGGGCUGAGCAGAGAAAGUCAGAGGCACUUAAGUUAUACUACAGGGUUUUGGAGGCAAUGUGUAGAGCAGAGUCUCAGAUACUGAAUGGAAAUAACCUUACUUCUUUGUUAUCAAAUGAACGGUUUCAUCGCUGCAUGCUUGCUUGUUCAGCUGAACUGGUUUUGACUACACAUAAAACAGUUACUUUGAUGUUUCCUGCUGUUCUCGAGAGAACUGGCAUAACUGCUUUCGAUUUGAGCAAGGUCAUAGAAAGUUUUGUUCGUCAUGAAGAAACUCUUCCACGUGAGUUAAAAAGACAUUUAAAUUCAUUGGAAGAGAGGCUAUUAGAAAGCAUGGCAUGGGAAAAAGGUUCAUCAAUGUACAAUACCUUGAUAGUAGCAAGACCAACUCUCUCUGCAGAAAUAAAUCAUUUAGGACUGUUAGCAGAACCAAUGCCCUCUCUUGAUGCUAUUGCUGGAAGCUAUAAUGUUUCUGCUGCAGGCUUGCCUCUGCCUUUUCAAAAGCAGGAACAUUCACCAGAUCAAAAUGGAGAUACCAUAUCUCCUAAGAAAGCAUGCAAUGACUAUCGAAAUGUGUUAGUGGAGCGCAAUUUCCUAGCAUCACCAGUUAAGGAUCGUGCAUUUAACAGUCCUAAAUCUAAAUUACCUCCUCUUCAGUCUGCUUUUGCCAGUCCUACCAGGCCUAGUCCCACAGGAGGAGGGGAAACUUGUGCUGAAACAGGAACCAACAUUUUCUUUAAUAAGAUUGUGAAACUGGCAGCUAUCAGAAUCAAAAGCUUGAGCGAAAGACUUCAGCUAUCUCAGCAAAUAUUGGAGCGUGUGUAUUGUCUCAUUCAACAGAUUCUCACUCAUAGAACUGCUCUUUUUUUCAAUCGACAUAUCGAUCAGUUAAUCCUUUGUAGCUUUUAUGGGGUUGCUAAGAUUUCUCAACUCAGCCUAACAUUCAAGGAGAUCAUUUAUAACUACAGAAAGCAACCUCAAUGUAAACCUCAAGUUUUUCGCAGUGUUUUUGUUCACUGGCCAUCGACAAGCCGAAAUGGAAAAACAGGAGAGGAGCAUGUUGAUAUCAUUACCUUUUACAAUGAGGUAUUCAUUCCCUCGGUUAAGCCCUUAUUGGUGGAAUUAGGACCUGGUGGUGUGAAUAAUAGAAGUAACCGAUCUCCUGAAGACAAGAUUAGUUCUGACUGCCAAAUUCCAGGAUCACCUAGGAUACCGCCAUUUCCAAAUCUUCCAGACAUGUCUCCAAAGAAAGUUUCUGCUGUUCAUAAUGUUUAUGUUUCUCCUCUGCGAUCAACAAAGAUGGAUACAUUGCUUUCACCAAGCUCCAAGAGUUACUAUGCAUGUGUUGGUGAAAGCACUCAUGCUUAUCAGAGCCCCUCAAAAGAUCUGUCAGCCAUCAAUAACCGUCUAAAUGGUGGAAGGAAGGUCAGUGGCAGGCUUAAUUUUGAUGUGGUGAGUGAUUUUGUCGUAGCUGGUACUCUCCAGGAUGGCAAUUCUGCCUCUUCAAGCACUGCUGCUCCUACCACAAGUGUUGUUGCAAAAGCUGAGCAACCUGAACCCUAAUUGCUCAAUGGUAAAUGAAUCCUGUUGAUUUUGAAAAGCUCGGAAUUGCUUCAUCUGUGGGCUCUACAAACUAGAACAUAUUAGAUUUGAACCUGGAUUUGCUAUAGAAAUCCCGAGUACCCAGUCUUGUUCGAAGGAUGCAUGAACCCAUUUAAUAGUAAUUGCCAGCCACUAGAUGUACAGUUGUUCCUGUAUCAGUCGUUGGAUUGACAGUGAGAUUGUACUGAGAUGAUAGCUUGGCCAAUCGAGCCGCUACAUCUAUACACUAAGCUAUGCAUUUCAUUAUUAUAUUCUUAUCGUUGCUGUUA